GUGCCAGCAGCCGCGGUAAUACGGAGGAUGCAAGCGUUAUCCGGAAUGAUUGGGCGUAAAGCGUUUUAAGGUGGUUUGGUAAGUCUACUGUUAAAUAUCAGGGCUUAACCCUGAACAGGCAGUGGAAACUAGCAAGCUUGAGUACGGUAGGGGCAGAGGGAAUUCCCGGUGUAGCGGUGAAAUGCGUAGAUAUCGGGAAGAACACCAAAGGCGAAAGCACUCUGCUGGGCCGAAACUGACACUGAUAGACGAAAGCUAGGGGAGCAAAUGGGAUUAGAUACCCGCGUAGUCC
rnacentral:rRNA from 1 species